rnacentral:rRNA from 1 species
CUGAAUAGGGCGCAUAAGUAACAGGUCGUAGACCCGAAACCAGGUGAUCUACCCAUGUCCAGGAUGAAGGUAAGGUAAUACUUACUGGAGGUCCGAACCCACGCACGUUGAAAAGUGCGGGGAUGAGGUGUGGGUAGCGGAGAAAUUCCAAUCGAACUUGGAGAUAGCUGGUUCUCUCCGAAAUAGCUUUAGGGCUAGCCUCGAGGUAAAGAGUCAUGGAGGUAGAGCACUGUUUGGACUAGGGGCCCUUCUCGGGUUACCGAAUUCAGAUAAACUCCGAAUGCCAUGUACUUAUACUCGGGAGUCAGACUGCGAGUGAUAAGAUCCGUAGUCGAAAGGGAAACAGCCCAGACCACCAGUUAAGGUCCCCAAAUAUAUGUUAAGUGGAAAAGGAUGUGGGGUUGCUUAGACAACCAGGAUGUUGGCUUAGAAGCAGCCACCAUUGAAAGAGUGCGUAAUAGCUCACUGGUCGAGUGACCCCGCGCCGAAAAUGUACCGGGGCUAAACAUAUUACCGAAACUGUGGAUGAACCUCUUUAGAGGUUCGUGGUAGGAGAGCGUUCUAAGGGCGGUGAAGUCAGACCGGAAGGACUGGUGGAGCGCUUAGAAGUGAGAAUGCCGGUAUGAGUAGCGAAAGAAGGGUGAGAAUCCCUUCCACCGAAUAUCUAAGGUUUCCUGAGGAAGGCUCGUCCGCUCAGGGUUAGUCGGGACCUAAGCCGAGGCCGAUAGGCGUAGGCGAUGGACAACAGGUAGAGAUUCCUGUACCAGUGCUAAUUGUUUAACCGAUGGGGUGACACAGAAGGAUAGGGAAUCGCACGAAUGGAAAUGUGCGUCCAAGCAGUGAGUGUGAGAAGUAGGCAAAUCCGCUUCUCGCGAAGCAUGAGCUGUGAUGGGGAAGGAAAUUAAGUACGGAAGUUCCUGAUUUCACGCUGUCAAGAAAAGCCUCUAGGAAGAGUAGUACUGCCCGUACCGCAAACCGACACAGGUAGAUGAGGAGAGAAUCCUAAGGUGAGCGAGAGAACUCUCGUUAAGGAACUCGGCAAAAUGACCCCGUAACUUCGGGAGAAGGGGUGCUCUAUUAGGGUGCAAGCCCGAGAGAGCCGCAGUGAAUAGGCCCAGGCGACUGUUUAGCAAAAACACAGGUCUCUGCAAAACCGUAAGGUGACGUAUAGGGGCUGACGCCUGCCCGGUGCUGGAAGGUUAAGAGGAGUGCUUAGCUUCGGCGAAGGUACGAAUUGAAGCCCCAGUAAACGGCGGCCGUAACUAUAACGGUCCUAAGGUAGCGAAAUUCCUUGUCGGGUAAGUUCCGACCCGCACGAAAGGCGCAACGAUCUGGGCACUGUCUCAACGAGAGACUCGGUGAAAUUAUAGUACCUGUGAAGAUGCAGGUUACCCGCGACAGGACGGAAAGACCCCGUGGAGCUUUACUGCAACCUGAUAUGGAAUGUUUGUACCGCUUGUACAGGAUAGGUAGGAGCCGAAGAGACGUGUGCGCUAGCAUACGAGGAGGCAAUGGUGGGAUACUACCCUGGCUGUAUGACCAUUCUAACCCGCCACGCUUAGCGCGUGGGGAGACAGUGUCAGGUGGGCAGUUUGACUGGGGCGGUCGCCUCCUAAAGAGUAACGGAGGCGCCCAAAGGUUCCCUCAGAAUGGAUGGAAAUCAUUCGCAGAGUGUAAAGGCACAAGGGAGCUUGACUGCGAGACUGACAAGUCGAGCAGGGACGAAAGUCGGGCUUAGUGAUCCGGUGGUUCCGCAUGGAAGGGCCAUCGCUCAACGGAUAAAAGCUACCCCGGGGAUAACAGGCUUAUCUCCCCCAAGAGUCCACAUCGACGGGGAGGUUUGGCACCUCGAUGUCGGCUCGUCGCAUCCUGGGGCUGUAGUCGGUCCCAAGGGUUGGGCUGUUCGCCCAUUAAAGCGGCACGCGAGCUGGGUUCAGAACGUCGUGAGACAGUUCGGUCCCUAUCCGUCGCGGGCGCAGGAAAUUUGAGAGGAGCUGUCCUUAGUACGAGAGGACCGGGAUGGACACACCGCUGGUGUACCAGUUGUUCCGCCAGGAGCAUCGCUGGGUAGCUAUGUGUGGCAGGGAUAAACGCUGAAAGCAUCUAAGCGUGAAGCCCCCCUCAAGAUGAGAUUUCCCAUUUCUUCGGAAAGUAAGAUCCCUGAAAGAUGAUCAGGUAGAUAGGUUUGGAGUGGAAG